rnacentral:rRNA from 1 species
GUAUUGAAGGUGAUGCCUGCCCGGUGACCUAAGGUUUAACGGCCGCGGUAUCCUAACCGUGCAAAGGUAGCGCAAUCAAUUGUCCCGUAAAUCGGGACUAGUAUGAAUGGCUAAACGAGGUCUUAACUGUCUCUUACAGGCAAUCGGUGAAAUUGAUCUCCCUGUACAAAAGCAGGGAUAAAACCAUAAGACGAGAAGACCCUGUGGAGCUUCAAAAUCAGCGGCCACCCCAAGUUACAUACCAACCCACCAGGGCUCACUAUACCAAUGGGUGACUGGCCCGCAUUUUUCGGUUGGGGCGACCUUGGAGCAAAACAAAACCUCCAAAUCUUGGACCACACAUCUAGACUAAGAGCGACAUCUCGAAGUGCUAAAAGCAACCAGAUCCAAUACAAUUGAUCAAUGGACCAAGUUACCCCAGGGAUAACAGCGCAAUCUCCUCCGAGAGUCCAUAUCGACGGGGAGGUUUACGACCUCGAUGUUGGAUCAGGACAUCCUAGUGGUGCAGCCGCUACUAAGGGUUC